rnacentral:snoRNA from 1 species
AUGACUAUACUUUCAGGGAUCAUUUCUAUAGUUCAUUACUACUAAUUAGCAUUCCUUUCCUUUAUCCAUAGUUUUUUUCCUGCUCC